GACGAACGCUGGCGGCGUGCUUAACACAUGCAAGUCGAACGGUGAAGGGGUCUGCUUUUGUGGGCCCUGGAUGAGUGGCGAACGGGUGAGUAACACGUGAGUAACCUGCCCCCUUCUUCUGGAUAACCGCAUGAAAGUGUGGCUAAUACGGGAUAUUCUGGGUCUGUCGCAUGAUGGGUCUGGGAAAGAUUGCGCCUUUGGGUGUUGUUGGUGGGGGAUGGGCUCGCGGCCUAUCAGCGUGUUGGUGGGGUGAUGGCCUACCAAGGCGGUGACGGGUAGCCGGCCUGAGGGGGUGGACGGUCACACUGGGACUGCGGCACAGCCCAGACUCCUACGGGGGGCAGCGGUGGGGAAUAUUACACAAUGAGCGCUAGCCUGAUGCAGCGGCGCCGCGUGAGGGGUGGAGGCCUUCGGGUUGUAAACCUCUUUCGCCAGUGAAGCAGGCCUGCUCCUUGUGGGUGGGUUGACGGUAGCUAGAUAAGAAGCGCCGGCUAACUACGUG
rnacentral:rRNA from 1 species